AUUGAACGCUGGCGGCAGGCCUAACACAUGCAAGUCGAAUGGUAACAGGAAACAGCUUGCUGUUUCGCUGACGAGUGGCGGACGGGUGAGUAAUGUCUGGGAAACUGCCUGAUGGAGGGGGAUAACUACUGGAAACGGUAGCUAAUACCGCAUAACGUCGCAAGACCAAAGAGGGGGACCUUCGGGCCUCUUGCCAUCAGAUGUGCCCAGAUGGGAUUAGCUAGUAGGUGGGGUAACGGCUCACCUAGGCGACGAUCCCUAGCUGGUCUGAGAGGAUGACAGCCCACCGGGGAGAGGAACCACGUCCCGGGCUCCUGGGGGAGGGAGCAGUGGGAAAUUUUGCACAGUGGGGGGAAGCCUUAUGCAGCCGGGCGGCGUGUAUGAAGAAGACUUUGGGGUUGUAAAGUACUUUCGGGGGGGGGAAAGGGAGAAAAUUUAUUACCUUGCCUAAUUGACGUCACCCGCAAAAGAAGCCCCGGCUAACUCCGGG
rnacentral:rRNA from 1 species